rnacentral:rRNA from 1 species
UACACUCCUGCGGGAGGCAGCAGUGGGGAAUUUUGGACAAUGGGCGAAAGCCUGAUCCAGCAAUGCCGCGUGAGUGAAGAAGGCCUUCGGGUUGUAAAGCUCUUUUGUCAGGGAAGAAACGGUGAAAGCUAAUAUCUUUUGCUAAUGACGGUACCUGAAGAAUAAGCACCGGCUAACUACGUGCCAGCAGCCGCGGUAAUACGUAGGGUGCAAGCGUUAAUCGGAAUUACUGGGCGUAAAGCGUGCGCAGGCGGUUUUGUAAGUCUGAUGUGAAAUCCCCGGGCUCAACCUGGGAAUUGCAUUGGAGACUGCAAGGCUAGAAUCUGGCAGAGGGGGGUAGAAUUCCACGUGUAGCAGUGAAAUGCGUAGAUAUGUGGAGGAACACCGAUGGCGAAGGCAGCCCCCUGGGUCAAGAUUGACGCUCAUGCACGAAAGCGUGGGGAGCAAACAGGAUUAGAAACCCGUGUAGUCCCAUGAU